rnacentral:rRNA from 1 species
CCUACGGGCUGCAGCAGUGGGGAAUAUUGGACAAUGGGCGAAAGCCUGAUCCAGCCAUGCCGCGUGUGUGAAGAAGGCCUUCGGGUUGUAAAGCACUUUCAGUGGGGAAGAAAGCCUUGGGGCUAAUACCCUCGAGGAAGGACAUCACCCACAGAAGAAGCACCGGCUAACUCCGUGCCAGCAGCCGCGGUACUACGGAGGGUGCGAGCGUUAAUCGGAAUUACUGGGCGUAAAGCGCGCGUAGGCGGUCUGAUAAGCCGGUUGUGAAAGCCCCGGGCUCAACCUGGGAACGGCAUCCGGAACUGUCAGGCUAGAGUGCAGGAGAGGAAGGUAGAAUUCCCGGUGUAGCGGUGAAAUGCGUAGAGAUCGGGAGGAAUACCAGUGGCGAAGGCGGCCUUCUGGACUGACACUGACGCUGAGGUGCGAAAGCGUGGGUAGCAAACAGGAUUAGAUACCCGUGUAGUC